GAGGAAGUAAAAGUCGUAACAAGGUUUCCGUAGGUGAACCUGCGGAAGGAUCAUUAUUGAAUAAACUUGGUUGGGUUGUUGCUGGCUUUUCGGAGCAUGUGCACGCCUAGCGCCAUUUUUACCACCUGUGCACUUAUUGUAGAUUUGAAAACACCUUCUCGAGGCAACUCGGUUUGAGGACUGCUGUGCGCAAGCUAAGCUUUCCUUGCGUUUUCAAGUCUAUGUUUUUAUAUACCCCAUAAGAAUGUUUUAGAAUGUCAUUAAUGGGCUUUACUGCCUCUAAAUUAAUACAACUUUCAACAACGGAUCUCUUGGUUCUCGCAUCGAUGAAGAACGCAGCGAAAUGCGAUAAGUAAUGUGAAUUGCAGAAUUCAGUGAAUCAUCGAAUCUUUGAACGCACCUUGCGCUCCUUGGUAUUCCGAGGAGCAUGCCUGUUUGAGUGUCAUUAAAUUCUCAACCUUUUCAGCUUUUGCGAGUUGGAUUGGCUUGGAUGUGGAGGUUUGCAGGCUUCUCAGAAGUCAGCUCCUCUUAAAUACAUUAGCGGAACCUUUGUGGACCAGCUUUGGUGUGAUAAUUAUCUACGCCAUGGCCGUGAAGCAGCUUUACAUGGGGUUCAGCUUCUAAUCGUCCAUUGACUUGGACAAUUUCUGACAUUUUGACCUCAAAUCAGG
rnacentral:rRNA from 1 species